rnacentral:lncRNA from 1 species
CCAACUAAAUGAGGCCUAACUGUUGCUUGCACCGGUGACGGUUGGGGGUCCGUCGAUGGGCGAUGCCUUAAUUUGUGGUCUUCAUCACUUCAUGUGUUCUCAGUCAGGGCCCCGGCCGGUUCUUCGGAGACGGUUCCGGAACGAGGCCGCCAACGCGACUUGGUCGUCGGACACAGGUUUUAAGGCCUUAUUUAGGUUCUAAUUUUUUACUUCAGUACAUCGUAACACUUUUGUUUUUAUUUGGUAAUUAUUAUCCAAUCACAGACUAUCUAGGUUUAAAUUUAAAAGAUUCAUCUCGCGAUUUACAGGUAAACUAGUGCAAUUAGUUUUUGUUUUCGUUAAUAUUUAAUGCUUCAUGUAUAUGUUAUAAGAUUCGAUGUGACGUGAAAUUUUGAUUUUUUUUUUGAUUUUUUUGGGUAAAGUAAACAAGGCCUAAAAGCAAAAUUUUCAGAGAAAAAGUCUACAUCACCCCCUGAACUAUGGGGUGGUGUCUACUUUACCUCCGAACUAUGAAACAGUCUAAUUUAUCCCUGAACUAUCGAAACCGUUCAAAUCACUCCCCGGGUGGUUUUUUAUAGCGGUUUUGCUACAGGAACCGUGGUUUUGCUACGGUAACCGUGGUUUUGACUUUUUCUUUUUCCCUAUUUGUUUUCAUAUAAUCUUUGAAAAAUCAUAGUAAAUCAUAGAAAAAUUAUAAAAUAGAAAAAAUAAUUUUGUUGGACUCCACAUGAGUAGAUCUACGCAAUGAAUACAUAAUAUGGUAUACUUUAGUACAAAUUUUUUCUGUAGCUUUAAAUUAGUUAGAAAAAUCAAAUUUUAUCUGUAAUUAACUGGAAUAAUUCAUAGCUGCAGCUUCUGUGGUCCAAUUGUGGUG